AUGGAGCUCAAUGUUCACCUCCGUGCUACUGAUGGUGAUCCUCUCCCUGACCCGACGCGUUAUCGUCAUCUUGUUGGCAGUCUUGUCUAUCUAGCUGUCACUCGUCCGGACAUCUCUUAUCCGGUUCAUAUUAUGAGUCAGUUUGUCUCUGCCCCCACCUCGGUUCACUAUAGUCAUCUCCUUCGUGUUCUUUGA
rnacentral:rRNA from 1 species